UCCUGGCACAGAUACAGGAUGGCGGCCAU
rnacentral:piRNA from 1 species